GAUGAAGAACGCAGCGAAAUGCGAUAAGUAAUGUGAAUUGCAGAAUUCAGUGAAUCAUCGAAUCUUUGAACGCACAUUGCGCCCGCCAGUAUUCUGGCGGGCAUGCCUGUUCGAGCGUCAUUUCAACCAUCAAGCCCCAGGCUUGUGUUGGGGACCUGCGGCUGCCGCAGGCCCUGAAAACCAGUGGCGGGCUCGCUGUCACACCGGGCGUAGUAGAUUUUAUCUCGCUCAGGGCGUGCUGCGGGUCCCGGCCGUUAAAAGCCUUUUUUACCCAAGGUUGACCUCGGAUCAGGUAGGAAGACCCGCUGAACUUAAGCAUAUCAAUAAGCGGAGGA
rnacentral:misc_RNA from 1 species